GAAAAUAGUGCCUUAAAAAUUUUAUUACUCAUACGAAAUUACAUAAGAUUUAACAAUAACUCCAUACUGUAAUACACAACAAACUUAACAACUCUACUAACAACCAAAAACCUAAAACUCAAACAAGAAAGCCCACUGAUAUAGCUGCUAUGAUUUAAUUUUCAUGUCUUGCAUAGUAUAGGGAACCGUUGCUCACGUAUCCCUCCCAAGCUCCCACGACCGAACAGUACCUUUCUCCUCUGGAUAUGUAUAGUGAACCACAAAGUUCUUUAACACCCAUUGAUGUUUCAAGAGUUUGAAGAGUUUUUUGUUAAUGUUGUGAAACAAAUAAAGAAUCAAAAAGAAAUGUAAAUGAAUGAUGGAAUUUUCUGGGUCAUCAGCCGCCUCUUAAUUUAUCUUUCUCCUGAUUAUUCUAUAUGUUCUCUUCGUAUAGUACUACUGCUACUCAUAUAUCAACAAAAAGAAAAAGAGAAAAAUCUUAAUUCAGAGCUAAAGAGAACAAAAAGAAAGAAAUUCCACCAACAAUGGGUUCCGAGCAGAACAGAUUCCCCCAGCAAGAGCGGUGAAAAUCAAUUGGGAGGAGGAGGAGAAAAAAUUAUCCGAGCUGGGCCCAUUUGAUUGAGACCUACUUAUACUCCUGGUGAAAUGCUGGAUUCCUUGGUGUGGUUGAUUUUCUUCUUUGUGCUUUGUUUUCGUUGAAUUGUCAUUAGUCAUCGGAGUUUUAAUUGUUUCGUUUUUCUUUGAUCGUACAUGCAUGUACUUUGUUUCUUUCGCUCUUUGUUCAUCUACAGAUCCAGCUACUUCACUGCUUCCAAAGUUCAAAUUCUGUUUACCGAAUAAUUUUUAUCGACGAUAGUUAACUGUUUAAGAUACAUAGAUCCCUUCUUUCGAGUCUUGAACGUGAUUUACCUA